GACGAACGCUGGCGGCGUGCCUAACACAUGCAAGUCGAGCGGAGAUAUUAGCAAUAAUAUUUUAGCGGCGGACGGGUGAGUAACGAGUGGGCAACCUGCCUUUCACUGGGGGAUAACACAGAGAAAUUUGUGCUAAUACCGCAUAACAUUACGAGAUGACAUCAUCUUGUGAUCAAAGGAGUAAUCCGGUGAUUGAUGGGCCCGCGUCCGAUUAGCUAGUUGGUGGUGUAACGGACCACCAAGGCGACGAUCGGUAGCCGAACUGAGAGGUUGAUCGGCCACAUUGGGACUGAGACACGGCCCAGACUCCUACGGGAGGCAGCAGUGGGGAAUAUUGCGCAAUGGGGGAAACCCUGACGCAGCAACGCCGCGUGAAGGAUGAAGGUUUUCGGAUUGUAAACUUCUUUGAUUGGGGACGAAAUAAAUGACGGUACCCAAAAAACAAGCCACGGCUAACUACGUGCCAGCCGCCGCGGUAA
rnacentral:rRNA from 1 species